AUUGAACGCUGGCGGCAGGCUUAACACAUGCAAGUCGAGCGGAGAUGAGGUGCUUGCACCUUAUCUUAGCGGCGGACGGGUGAGUAAUGCUUAGGAAUCUGCCUAUUAGUGGGGGACAACAUUCCGAAAGGAAUGCUAAUACCGCAUACGUCCUACGGGAGAAAGCAGGGGAUCUUCGGACCUCUCGCUAAUAGAUGAGCCUAAGUUGGAUUAGCUAGUUGGUGGGGUAAAGGCCUACCAAGGCGACGAUCUGUAGCGGGUCUGAGAGGAUGAUCCGCCACACUGGGACUGAGACACGGCCCAGACUCCUACGGGAGGCAGCAGUGGGGAAUAUUGGACAAUGGGGGGAACCCUGAUCCAGCCAUGCCGCGUGUGUGAAGAAGGCCUUAUGGUUGUAAAGCACUUUAAGCGAGGAGGAGGCUACUGAGACUAAUACUCUUGGAUAGUGGACGUUACUCGCAGAAUAAGCACCGGCUAACUCUGUGCCAGCCGCCGCGGUAACAC
rnacentral:rRNA from 1 species